rnacentral:rRNA from 1 species
UACGUAGGGUGCGAGCGUUGUCCGGAAUUAUUGGGCGUAAAGAGCUCGUAGGCGGUUUGUCGCGUCGGCCGUGAAAUCUCCACGCUUAACGUGGAGCGUGCGGUCGAUACGGGCAGACUUGAGUUCGGUAGGGGAGACUGGAAUUCCUGGUGUAGCGGUGAAAUGCGCAGAUAUCAGGAGGAACACCGGUGGCGAAGGCGGCUUGCUGGGCCUUACCUGACGCUGGAGGAGCGAAAGCGUGGGGAGCGAACAGG